UUGGAGGGCAAGUCUGGUGCCAGCAGCCGCGGUAAUUCCAGCUCCAAUAGCGUAUAUUAAAGUUGUUGCAGUUAAAAAGCUCGUAGUUGAAUUUCGGGGUCAGUAGGUUGGUCGUGCCACAGGUAUGAACUGGUCUCACUGAUUCCUCCUUCCUGAUGAACCGUAAUGCCAUUAAUUUGGUGUUGCGGGGAGACUGGACUGUUACUUUGAAAAAAUUAGAGUGUUUAAAGCAGGCUAACGCUUGAAUACAUUAGCAUGGAAUAAUGAAAUAGGACGUUCGGUCUUAUUUUGUUGGUUUCUAAGAUUGACGUAAUGAUUAAUAGGGAUAGUUGGGGGCAUUAGUAUUCAAUUGUCAGAGGUGAAAUUCUUGGAUUUAUUGAAGACUAACUACUGCGAAAGCAUUUGCCAAGGAUGUUUUCAUUAAUCAAGAACGAAAGUUAGGGGAUCGAAGACGAUCAGAUACCGUCGUAGUCUUAACCAUAAACUAUGCCGACUAGGGAUCGGAUGAUGUUAAUUUUUUAAUGACUCAUUCGGCGCCUUACGG
rnacentral:rRNA from 1 species